UACGAAGGGGGCUAGCGUUGUUCGGAAUUACUGGGCGUAAAGGGCGCGUAGGCGGCCUGUUAAGUCGAACGUGAAAUCCCCGGGCUCAACCCGGGAACUGCGUCCGAUACUGGUUGGCUUGAAUUCGGGAGAGGGAUGCGGAAUUCCAGGUGUAGCGGUGAAAUGCGUAGAUAUCUGGAGGAACACCGGUGGCGAAGGCGGCAUCCUGGACCGAUAUUGACGCUGAUGCGCGAAAGCCAGGGGAGCAAACGGG
rnacentral:rRNA from 1 species